rnacentral:rRNA from 1 species
AUGAACGCUAGCUANACGGCUUAACACAUGCAAGUCGAGGGAAACGAUAGAGAAAGCUUGCUUUUUCUAGGCGUCGACCGGCGCGACGGGCGAGUAACGCGUAUCCAACCUGCCCAUCUACUUGGGAAUAACCUGCGAAAGUAAGACUAAUGCCCAAUGACAUUUAUAGAAGGCAUCUGAAAUGAAUUAAAGAUUUAUCGGUGAUGGAUGGGGAUGCGUCUGAUUAGCUUGUUGGCGGGGUAACGGCCCACCAAGGCGACGAUCAGUAGGGGUUCUGAGAGGAAGGUCCCCCACAUUGGAACUGAGACACGGUCCAAACUCCUACGGGAGGCAGCAGUGAGGAAUAUUGGUCAAUGGGCGGAAGCCUGAACCAGCCAUGCCGCGUGAAGGACUAAGGCCCUAUGGGUCGUAAACUUCUUUAGACGCAGAGCAAUAAGGGUCUCGUGAGAUCCGAUGAGAGUAUGCGUAGAAUAAGCAUCGGCUAACUCCGUG